rnacentral:rRNA from 1 species
AGAGAUGGAUUGGUGCCUUCGGGAACGUCUGACACAGGUGCUGCAUGGCUGUCGUCAGCUCGUGCCGUGAGAUGUUGGGUUAAGUCCGUAACGAGCGCAACCCUUGUCCUUAGUUACCAGCACGUUAUGGUGGGCACUCUAAGGAGACUGCCGGUGACAAACCGGAGGAAGGUGGGGAUGACGUCAAGUCAUCAUGGCCCUUACGGCCUGGGCUACACACGUGCUACAAUGGUCGGUACAAAGGGUCGCCAAGCCGCGAGGUGGAGCUAAUCCCAUAAAACCGAUCGUAGUCCGGAUCGCAGUCUGCAACUCGACUGCGUGAAGUCGGAAUCGCUAGUAAUCGUGAAUCAGAAUGUCACGGUGAAUACGUUCCCGGGCCUU